rnacentral:rRNA from 1 species
GAUGAACGCUGGCGGCGUGCUUAACACAUGCAAGUCGAACGGUGAAGCAGGAGCUUGCUCUUGUGGAUCAGUGGCGAACGGGUGAGUAACACGUGAGCAACCUGCCCCUGACUCUGGGAUAAGCGCUGGAAACGGCGUCUAAUACUGGAUAUGUGAUGUGACCGCAUGGUCUGCAUCUGGAAAGAAUUUCGGUUGGGGAUGGGCUCGCGGCCUAUCAGCUUGUUGGUGAGGUAAUGGCUCACCAAGGCGUCGACGGGUAGCCGGCCUGAGAGGGUGACCGGCCACACUGGGACUGAGACACGGCCAAGACUCCUACGGGAGGCAGCAGUGGGGAAUAUUGCACAAUGGGCGGAAGCCUGAUGCAGCAACGCCGCGUGAGGGAUGACGGCCUUCGGGUUGUAAACUUCUUUUAGCAGGGAAGAAGCGAAAGUGACGGUACCUGCAAAAAAAGCACCGGCUAACUACGUGCCAGCAGCCGCCGUAA